UACAGAGGUCUCAAGCGUUGUUCGGAUUCAUUGGGCGUAAAGGGUGCGUAGGCGGCGCGGUAAGUCGGGUGUGAAAUCUCGGAGCUUAACUCCGAAACUGUAUUCGAUACUGCCGUGCUUGAGGACUGGAGAGGAGACUGGAAUUUACGGUGUAGCGGUGAAAUGCGUAGAUAUCGUAAGGAAGACCAGUGGCGAAGGCGGGUCUCUGGACAGUUCCUGACGCUGAGGCACGAAGGUCAGGGGAGCAAACGGG
rnacentral:rRNA from 1 species